rnacentral:pre_miRNA from 1 species
CUUAGAUUUGUCUAGAUACGGAUGUAUCAAGUCACAUUUUAGUAUUAGAUACAUCCAUAUCUAGACAAAUCUAAGACAAGAAAUUUGGGAUAGAGGGAGUAGUUG